rnacentral:rRNA from 1 species
CGGAUUAGCGGCGGACGGGUGAGUAACACGUGAGUAACCUGCCUUAGACAUUGGGAUAGCCUCGGGAAACCGGGAUUAAUACCAAAUAAAAUCAUAAUGACACAUGUCAUAACGAUCAAAACUCCGGUGGUCUAAGAUGGACUCGCGUCCCAUUAGCUAGUUGGUAGAGUAAAAGCCUACCAAGGCGACGAUGGGUAGCCGGCCUGAGAGGGUGAACGGCCACAUUGGAACUGAGGAACGGUCCAA